ensembl:snoRNA
UAGAUAUGAUGAACUGACUCUCUGAGCAAAACUGAUGAUUGUUUUUACUUUAAUCCUCUAGAUAGUCAAGUACUGAUCUAG